GCUCUUUCACCCAGUUUUUGGGCACAGGGGCAGAGUGGGUGGGCAGCUGUAGAGUACCAGGGAAAGGGAGGCUGCUCAGCAGUUUCUGAGCAAACCUUGGCUGUAUUCUGCAGGGGGGAUAGCUUAUGGAUGGUCUGUGGAUCAGGGAAUCGUGUUCUCCAGCGAGCAGCAGUAGCACAUUUUGAUACCCUCCAGCCUUUUCUCCACUGACUUUGUGGGAUUUGAGGUUGAUCUCCCUCUGGUGUGUGCUCAAAGGAGAAGGAAAAAGGUGUCUGUGGAGAAAAGCUGCAUGCAGGCACAGGUUUUUUGCUACAUCAUUAUUUUGAUACCCGGUGGUUUGUGCGGCUGGAUGUCGGUCAUUUGCCAAAGGCCUUGGAGCAACAGUCCUUAGGAAUGGAAUCCUUGUCAGAUUCUGCCCUCUCCUGCACCCGAGGCAGGAGCAGGGCUGCUCACAGACCCAGCUGGGCUGAGUUUGCCUCACAUUCUCCCACUGCAGAAAAUCUGCUGCUGGAGAAACUGUGAAAACUCCAUGGUUCGGUCAAACUGCUCCCAGUCCUGCAUGAGGUACCAGAGGUGAACUCAGUGAGCAGCAAAUCAAGGUGGGUUCCUCUGAGAAGGAAAACAGAGCAAGGGCUGAGAGGAUUUAUCAUCCCAGGGGGUUUUGCACUGGAGGAAACAGUCCUCCCAAAGACAGUGCUCUGCACUGAACUUGCCUCUGGGAAAGGUGCACACACCGGUGUCAGUGCUGGGAAGGGCACAACCAGCCUCAUUAAAAAGGGCCUGUAACAUGCUUUGUCCAGCUCUGACCUUGCAUGAAGCUCCAGGAGAGGAUAAAAAACUGUGUUCCUUUAAGUAAAACAAACUGGAAGAAAAGUGGAUUUCAGCUUAGAGGAGCCCAGGUGAAAGACAACCUUGACAGAGUUCCAGCAAUCAGCAGCUGCCCUGCAGUUUUCCAUCAGAGUUCAAACACUUCAGGGUAAGGUUCUGCCUUUGAAAUUAGUUAAAUAGGAUGGGGAGUGACAUUUUUUAUGAAGUGUCGCAGAAAACUUAAUUUAAACCCAGAGCAGCAGUGCAGCUGCAGCAGAGCAGCCUGGACAGGCACAUCAAACACGAGGGUUUGAGGGAGGCCCCAGAUGCAGCUGGGCCAGGAUGCCACCAAGGACACCAGAACGCCACCAGGGACACCAAGAUGGCACCAGGGACACCAAGAUGCCACCAAGGACACCAGAACGCCACCAGGGACACCAAGAUGGCACCAGGGACACCAGGAUGCCACCAAGGACACCAGGAUGCCACCAGGGACACCAAGAUGGCACCAGGGACACCAAGAUGCCACCAGGGACACCAGAAUGCCACCAGGGACACCAAGAUGCCACCAGGGACACCAGGAUGCCACCAGGGACACCAGAAUGCCACCAGGGACACCAAGAUGCCACCAGGGACACCAAGAUGCCACCAGGGACAC